rnacentral:lncRNA from 1 species
CCUACUAGAACAAUAGGUGUAUAAACCUUUAUACUCGAUGCUUCCUCUCUUUUCGGAAUGAUGACAACGAAAGAGGCAUUGAGACUUUUUUCGAACUCCCCCGUACUCUAGAAAGCUGCAAUAGUUUCUAACACUACUAGAAAAAUACUAAGGUAAAAUCGUGUACGGUGAGGGAAAGGCAAGUAUUCAGAAGCAGGAAGCAUAGGAAAGAGCA